AACAAUAUCCUGAUGCCGUC
rnacentral:miRNA from 14 species